CAAUAGCGUAUAUUAAAGUUGUUGCAGUUAAAAAGCUCGUAGUUGGAUUUCUGGUGGGAGCGAUCGGUCUGGCGCUUAGCGCGAGUACUUGCAUCGUCUCCGGCCAUCCUUGGGGAGAGUCUGUCUGGCAUUAAGUUGUCGGGCAGAGGAUCCUCAUCGUUUACUGUGAAAAAAUUAGAGUGUUCAAAGCAGGCUCAUGCCGUUGAAUAUAUUAGCAUGGAAUAAUAAGAUAGGACUUUGGUACUAUUUUGUUGGUUUGCGCACCAAAGUAAUGAUUAAUAGGGACAGUUGGGGGUAUUCGUAUUCCGUUGUCAGAGGUGAAAUUCUUGGAUUUACGGAAGACGAACUACUGCGAAAGCAUUUACCAAGGAUGUUUUCAUUAA
rnacentral:rRNA from 1 species